GGGGGGACAUAAAGAGACACAGAGGUGGAGGGAAAAAGAGACAUGGUGCUGAAGGGCAGAGACACCCAGAGGGGUUGAAGGCUAGAAAGAAACAAGGUGCUGGGGAAGAGACAAACACAGAGGGUGGGGAGAAACAGACACAUAGAGUUGCUGGGAGGACAAAGUGACAAAAAGGGGCUGGGGAAGUGACAAAAUAGACAUGGGCUGAG